rnacentral:ncRNA from 1 species
AAUUAAAAACAUCACUUGCGAACAAGGAAUUUUUCACUGUUACAAACACUCGUCAAAAACUGACAUUUUCCAGGUCUAUGGGAACACAAGAUUUCAGAUUUUAACCACUCCCGAACAUACGAGUAGUAAAGGGAGGAAAUACAAUAGCAUUUUAAAAAUCUUAAUAAUAUGGGAAUAAUGGAAUAGGACUUUGGUUCUAUUUUGUUGGUUUUCGGGAAGCGCGACGGUAAUGAUUAAGGACAGACGGGGGCAUUCGAACUGUGCCGUUUGAGGUGAAAUUCUUGGAUGCGCGCAAGACAAACGACUGCGAAAGCAUUUGCCAAGAAUGUUUUCUUUAAUCAA